rnacentral:rRNA from 1 species
GCUCUUGCAUCGAUGAAGAACGUAGCGAAAUGCGAUACUUGGUGUGAAUUGCAGAAUCCCGUGAACCAUCGAGUCUUUGAACGCAAGUUGCGCCCGAAGCCAUUAGGUUGAGGGCACGCCUGCCUGGGUGUUGCACAUCGUUGCCCCUGUGCCUUGGCCACGU